GGAGAGAUGUCCGAGAGGUUGAAGGUGGCGGUCUCGAAAACCGUUGUGCGGUCAUACGCACCGAGGGUUCGAAUCCCUCUCUCUCCG
rnacentral:tRNA from 1 species